AGCCAAAUUCCUGAUUACCUU
rnacentral:misc_RNA from 1 species